rnacentral:misc_RNA from 1 species
UUGAUUAUUUGAUUUAUACUCAGACUGAAGGUACAGGAGUUUACGUGUCCACCGGCGGGCGAGCCCGCCAAGGCAACUUCAAAGAUAAGGUACGCACGGUUUGGGGUUCGGGCCCGGAGACCCUUCCUCAGUAAUGAUCCUUCCGCAGGUUCACCUACGGAAA